rnacentral:rRNA from 1 species
UGGGGAAUAUUGCACAAUGGGCGCAAGCCUGAUGCAGCAACGCCGCGUGAGGGACGACGGCCUUCGGGUUGUAAACCUCUUUUAGCAGGGAAGAAGCGAAAGUGACGGUACCUGCAGAAAAAGCACCGGCUAACUACGUGCCAGCAGCCGCGGUAAUACGUAGGGUGCAAGCGUUGUCCGGAAUUAUUGGGCGUAAAGAGCUCGUAGGCGGUCUGUCGCGUCUGCUGUGAAAACCCGAGGCUCAACCUCGGGCCUGCAGUGGGUACGGGCAGACUAGAGUGCGGUAGGGGAGAUUGGAAUUCCUGGUGUAGCGGUGGAAUGCGCAGAUAUCAGGAGGAACACCGAUGGCGAAGGCAGAUCUCUGGGCCGUAACUGACGCUGAGGAGCGAAAGCGUGGGGAGCGAACAGG